rnacentral:rRNA from 1 species
AGAGUUUGAUCCUGGCUCAGAACGAACGCUGGCGGCGUGCCUAACACAUGCAAGUCGUACGAGAAAAUCCGCUUCGGCGGGUGAGUAGAGUGGCGCACGGGUGAGUAACGCGUGGAUAAUCUGCCUUUAAGCUGGGAAUAACUCACCGAGAGGUGGGCUAAUACCCGAUAAUGCUAUGGGACUUCGGUUUUAUAGCCAAAGAGAGCCUCUACAUGUAAGCCUUCACUUAAAGAUGAGUCCGCGUACCAUUAGCUAGUUGGUAGGGUAAUGGCCUACCAAGGCGACGAUGGUUAGCUGGUCUGAGAGGAUGAUCAGCCACACUGGAACUGAGACACGGUCCAGACUCCUACGGGAGGCAGCAGUGAGGAAUAUUGCGCAAUGGGGGCAACCCUGACGCAGCAACGCCGCGUGAGUGAGGAAGGUCUUCGGACCGUAAAGCUCUGUCGGGUGGGAAGAAGUGUGCAUAGGUUAAUAGCUUGUGCACUUGACGGUACCGCCAAAGGAAGCACCGGCUAACUCCGUGCCAGCAGCCGCGGUAAUACGGGGGGUGCGAGCGUUGUUCGGAAUCAUUGGGCGUAAAGAGCGUGUAGGCGGCUAGGCAAGUCAGAUGUGAAAUCCCUGGGCUUAACCCAGGAAGUGCAUUUGAAACUGCUUAGCUUGAGUAAGGAAGAGGGAAGUGGAAUUCCUGGUGUAGAGGUGAAAUUCGUAGAUAUCAGGAGGAACACCGGUGGCGAGGGCGACUUCCUGGUCCUAUACUGACGCUGAGACGCGAGAGCGUGGGGAGCAAACAGGAUUAGAUACCCUGGUAGUCCACGCCGUAAACGAUGUUCACUAGGUGUUGAGGGUAUUGACCCCUUCAGUGCCGAAGCUAACGCAUUAAGUGAACCGCCUGGGGAGUACGGUCGCAAGAUUAAAACUCAAAGGAAUUGACGGGGGCCCGCACAAGCGGUGGAGCAUGUGGUUUAAUUCGAUGCAACGCGAAGAACCUUACCUGGUCUUGACAUGCUGGUGAAAUCCGUGGAAACACGGCCCUCCCGCAAGGGACGCCAGUACAGAUGGUGCAUGGCUGUCGUCAGCUCGUGUCGUGAGAUGUUGGGUUAAGUCCCGCAACGAGCGCAACCCUUACCCUUAGUUGUUUUCCCGAAAGGAUUACCCUCUAAGGGGACUGCCCCGGACAACGGGGAGGAAGGCGGGGAUGAUGUCAAGUCCGCAUGCUUCUUACGACCAGGGCUACACACGUCCUACAAUGGGGUCGACAGAGGGAUGCAAAGCCGCGAGGUAGAGCCAAUCCCUAAACGGCCUCUCAGUUCGGAUAGUAGUCUGCAACUCGACUACUUGAAGUCGGAAUCGCUAGUAAUGGCGGAUCAGCAUGCCGCCGUGAAUACGUUCCCGGGUCUUGCACUCACCGCCCGUCA